rnacentral:misc_RNA from 1 species
GAUGAAGAACGCAGCAAAAUGCGAUAAGUAAUGUGAAUUGCAGAAUUCAGUGAAUCAUCGAAUCUUUGAACGCACAUUGCGCCCGCCAGUAUUCUGGCGGGCAUGCCUGUUCGAGCGUCAUUUCAACCCUCAAGCACAGCUUGGUGUUGGGACUCGCGUUAAUUCGCGUUCCCCAAAUUGAUUGGCGGUCAUGUCGAGCUUCCAUAGCGUAGUAGUAAAACCCUCGUUACUGGUAAUCGUCGCGGCCACGCCGUUAAACCCCAACUUCUGAAUGUUGACCUCGGAUCAGGUAGGAAUACCCGCUGAACUUAAGCAUAUCAAUAAGCGGAGGA